rnacentral:rRNA from 1 species
CGGGGGAGCACCACAACAGGUGGAGCCUGCGGUUUAAUCGGACUCAACGCCGGGAAACUCACCAGAUAGACAGCUGAAUGAUAGUCGGGCUGAAGACUCUACUUGACUAGCUGAGAGGAGGUGCAUGGCCGUCGUCAGUUCGUACUGUGAAGCAUCCUGUUAAGUCAGGCAACGAGCGAGACCCACGCCAACAGUUGCCAGCUCGUCCUCCGGGAUGGUGGGGACACUGUUGGGACCGCCUCUGCUAAAGAGGAGGAAGGAAUGGGCAACGGUAGGUCAGCAUGCCCCGAAUUAUCUGGGCUACACGCGGGCUACAAUGGGUGGGACAAUGGGUAUCGACACCGAAAGGUGAAGGCAAUCUCCUAAACCCAUCCGUAGUUCGGAUUGUGGGCUGCAACUCGCCCACAUGAAGCUGGAAUCUGUAGUAAUCGUGUCUCAAAAUGGCACGGUGAAUAUGUCCCUGCUCCUU